rnacentral:rRNA from 1 species
UACGUAGGGGGCAAGCGUUAUCCGGAUUUACUGGGUGUAAAGGGAGCGUAGACGGUUAUGUAAGUCUGGAGUGAAAGCCCGGGGCCCAACCCCGGGACUGCUUUGGAAACUGUAUAGCUUGAGUACUGGAGAGGCAGGCGGAAUUCCUAGUGUAGCGGUGAAAUGCGUAGAUAUUAGGAGGAACACCAGUGGCGAAGGCGGCUUACUGGACUGUAAAUGACGCUGAGGCUCGAAAGCGUGGGGAGCAAACAGG